AAUAACGAAUAUAUAAAGCCAGUAGAGACAUGAUCUCAAAAAAAAAAAAAAAAUCCACGAAUGAAUCUGAAAUAACCCGAAAACUAAUCGAAAUUCGUAUUUAUCUUAUCUGUUAUCGGAAUACCUCACAAUCUCGCCGCGGUUGUGUGUCUCAACAGCUAUAGUCCGGAGUCCUUUACCAACCAUGAGGAAGAAAAGCGGGAGGCAAGUCAAGCCAGGGGGCGAAAAUUUUUCCCCCACAGGCGAAAAAUUUUCCCCCACAGGCGAAAAAUUUUCCCCCACUGACUUCAUCCUUCCUGUUCCGCAAAGGACUGUGGCUGUCUGCGUGAUUAUCGCAGUUUUCCUAUUCUCCAUCUUCAAAGAUUAUCCGGAGGGAUUUUGAAGCAUAUGGCGGCAUCCUGAUCUUCUGAGAGAUUUAGGCCUUAUCAAUUACGCCUCCGGGGAAGAAUGGCGACUGAUAGGGAGACUAAAAAGAAAAGAAAAAGAAAAAUGUUAAUUUGUAAUGGAAGAGAUGUUAUUAAAAAUGGAUACAAUUAA